UAGUCAUAUGCUUGUCUCAAGGAUUAAGCCAUGCAUGUCUAAGUUUAAGCGAUUUAUACUGUGAGACUGCGGACGGCUCAUUAUAUCAGUUAUAGUUUAUUUGAUGGUCACCACUACAAGGAUAACCGUAGUAAUUCUAGAGCUAAUACUUGCACUAAAGACCCUUUUGGGUUUGCAUUUAUUAGAUUUCCUACCAAUCUGCUCACGCAGUUCGGUGAAUCAUAGUAACUAAGCGGAUCAGAUCUUCGGAUUUGACGCUUCAUUCAAGUUUCUGCCCUAUCAGCUUUCGAAGGUAGUGUAUUGGACUACCUUGGCAUUGACGGGUAACGGAGAAUUAGGGUUCGAUUCCGGAGAGGGAGCCUGAGAAACGGCUACCACAUCCAAGGAAGGCAGCAGGCGCGUAAAUUACCCAAUCCUAACGCAGGGAGGUAGUGACAAGAAAUAACGAUAGCUCAUCACUUUUGAUAAGCUGAUCGGAAUGAGUACAAUCUAAACACCUUAACGAUUAACAAUUGGAGGGCAAGUCUGGUGCCAGCAGCCGCGGUAAUUCCAGCUCCAAUAGCGUAUACUAAUGUUGUUGCAGUUAAAAAGCUCGUAGUCGGAUUUCAGAUUCCUUUUAGCAUGCUUUCAUGGCUUGUUACAAGACAUCUUCUUUGACAGAAGGCUUCUUGGUAUUGAUUUACUGAGUUGUCCGACUGUCUCUUUUACUUUGAGAAAAUUAGAGUGUUCAAAGCAGGUCCAUCGCCUGAAUAUUACUCUUGGAAUAAUACUAUAGGACUCUGUCUCUAGUUUGUUGGUUUACUGGAGCCGGGGUAAUGAUUAAUAGCGACGGUUGGGGUCAUUCGUACUGCAAAGCGAGAGGUGAAAUUCUUGGACCUUUGUAUGACGAACAACUGCGAAAGCAUUUGACUAGGACGUUCGCGUUGAUCAAGAACGAAAGUUGGGGGAUCGAAGACGAUCAGAUACCGUCGUAGUCUCAACCAUAAACUAUGCCAGCUAGGGAUGAGCGAAUGUUAUCUACUGACUUCGUUUGCACCUUAUGAGAAAUCAAAGCAUUUGGGUUCCGGGGGGAGUAUGGUCGCAAGGCUGAAACUUAAAGGAAUUGACGGGAGGGCACCACCAGGAGUGGAGCCUGUUGCUUAAUUUGAUUCAACACGGGAAAACUUACCAGGUCCGGACAUAGUAAGGAUUGACAGAUUGAAAGCUCUUUCUUGAUUCUAUGGGUGGUGGUGCAUGGCCGUUCUUAGUUGGUGGAGUGAUUUGUCUGGUUAAUCCCGUUAACGAACGAGACCUCAGCCUGCUAAAUAGUUGUUUUCUGGUUUCAGGAAAUAUACUUCUUAGAGGGACUACUUGCUAUCAAGUGAGCGGAAGCUUGAGGCAAUAACAGGUCUGUGAUGCCCUUAGAUGUUCUGGGCUGCUAACGGGCUACACUGGUGCAUUCAACAAGUUCCUCUCUUCUUCGAAAGAAGUGGAUAAUCUUUGAACUUGCACCGUGCUUGGGAUAGACUAUUGCAAUUUUUAGUCUUCAACGAGGAAUUCCUAGUAAACGCGAGUCAUCAACUCGCAUUGAUUACGUCCCUGCCCUUUGUACACACCGCCCGUCGCUCCUACCGAUUGGGUGAUUCGGUGAGCUCUUGGGAUUGAUUGUUUAGCUACUCUCACGAGUUCUUUCCAGUGAAAACUUGAUCAAACCUAAUCACCUAGAGGAAGGAGAAGUCGUAACAAGGUUUCCGUAG
rnacentral:rRNA from 1 species